CUUUGUCCUGAAAUGAACAUGAUGUCGAUGAAAAAAAACAGCAAUAGAAGAAGACUCGGACAUCCAGUUUCACAUGUGUAACCUUUGCCUUGAACUCAAGCCGGUGGGGGUAUCGUUUGCAAUUUAGGCCCAGUCAGAUCGUUCAAAUGUCACAAGAGCUGAAGAUGGCAGAGGUCAAAGAAUAUCAAGCUGAUUGCAAUAUCAAUCUGCUAUCAAGUUUUACAAUUCUCAGUAGACUGAAAAAAGGGUGUUUUAGUCAAUCACUUGGCUUUAGGGACUGGCCUUGACACAGAGCUAGUAUAUCAUGUGAGUCAUUGCUUUAUUGCAUAUAGAGUAGAUUACUAGAGAGACCGUUCACAACAACCUCACAAGCUAGGAUGCUGGGACCCCAAGUGAGUUAAGUCUCCUUGGAAAGGUCAUCUUGGCACUGAGAAGAAUAAGGAUAUUCAUGGAUAAAAAAGAAAAACAACAUGGAAAGAGAUGAGGAAUCCUAUGAGCCCUCAAACUUUUAAAAGAAACUGUACUAGACAAACUAGUAGCGUAGAAAGCUUCCGUAAAACAUCUCAACGAGCGCACAAUGUCAAUGGACCGGUGACACCACAAUCAUUCUUACUACUUUGUGGACAGUUGAAAAGAUGGCCAUUAGAAAUUGGUUCCUAAGGUAAGAAUAUGAAAAAUCUGAAAAAAAUUCUGGAAGUUGGGAAGUCAUUCUGACAUUAUUUUGAUCCCAUAGUAUUAGUAAUCAUAACAAGAUGGUAU